rnacentral:rRNA from 1 species
ACACUUGGAAACAGGUGCUAAUACCGUAUAACAACUGAAACCGCAUGGUUUCAGUUUGAAAGAUGGUUUCGGCUAUCACUUCUGGAUGGACCCGCGGCGUAUUAGCUAGUUGGUGGAGUAAUGGUUCACCAAGGCAAUGAUACGUAGCCGACCUGAGAGGGUAAUCGGCCACAUUGGGACUGAGACACGGCCCAAACUCCUACGGGAGGCAGCAGUAGGGAAUCUUCCACAAUGGACGAAAGUCUGAUGGAGCAACGCCGCGUGAGUGAAGAAGGGUUUCGGCUCGUAAAACUCUGUUGUUGAAGAAGAACACAUCUGAGAGUAACUGUUCAGGUGUUGACGGUAUUUAACCAGAAAGCCACGGCUAACUACGUGCCAGCAGCCGCGGUAAUACGUAGGUGGCAAGCGUUGUCCGGAUUUAUUGGGCGUAAAGCGAGCGCAGGCGGUUUCUUAAGUCUGAUGUGAAAGCCUUCGGCUUAACCGGAGAAGUGCAUCGGAAACUGGGAGACUUGAGUGCAGAAGAGGACAGUGGAACUCCAUGUGUAGCGGUGAAAUGCGUAGAUAUAUGGAAGAACACCAGUGGCGAAGGCGGCUGUCUGGUCUGUAACUG